CCUACGGGAGGCAGCAGUGGGGGAUAUUGCACAAUGGGGGAAACCCUGAUGCAGCGACGCCGCGUGGGUGAAGAAGUAUUUCGGUAUGUAAAGCCCUAUCAGCAGGGAAGAAAGAAAACGGUACCUGACUAAGAAGCCCCGGCUAACUACGUGCCAGCAGCCGCGGUAAUACGUAGGGGGCGAGCGUUAUCCGGGUUCACUGGGUGUAAAGGGAGCGUAGACGGCCGUGCAAGCCAGGAGUGAAAGCCCGGGGCUCAACCCCGGGACUGCUCUUGGAACUGUGCGGCUGGAGUGCGGGAGGGGCAGGCGGAAUUCCUGGUGUAGCGGUGAAAUGCGUAGAUAUCAGGAGGAACACCGGCGGCGAAGGCGGCCUGCUGGACCGCGACUGACGUUGAGGCUCGAAAGCGUGGGGAGCGAACAGGAUUAGAUACCCUUGUAGUC
rnacentral:rRNA from 1 species